rnacentral:ncRNA from 2 species
AUAAAUAAUUGAAACUUAGAUGUUCGGGAAAAAGAUGAAAACUCUUUGCUGUCCCAGCAACUGUAAUACUAAUGAACGUUGAAUUACCCAUUGAAAUCCAAUUUUGAGAAGGGCAACUAGUAAAAUGAAGUUAAGCCAGUAGACCGGUCUGAUUUUCAAAAAUUAA